rnacentral:rRNA from 1 species
GAUGAACGCUGGCGGCGUGCUUAACACAUGCAAGUCGAACGAUGAAGCCCAGCUUGCUGGGUGGAUUAGUAGCGAACGGGUGAGUAACACGUGAGUAACCUGCCCUUAACUCUGGGAUAAGCCUGGGAAACUGGGUCUAAUACCGGAUAGGAGCGCCUACCGCAUGGUGGGUGUUGGAAAGAUUUAUCGGUUUUGGAUGGACUCGCGGCCUAUCAGCUUGUUGGUGAGGUAAUGGCUCACCAAGGCGACGACGGGUAGCCGGCCUGAGAGGGUGACCGGCCACACUGGGACUGAGACACGGCCCAGACUCCUACGGGAGGCAGCAGUGGGGAAUAUUGCACAAUGGGCGAAAGCCUGAUGCAGCGACGCCGCGUGAGGGAUGACGGCCUUCGGGUUGUAAACCUCUUUCAGUAGGGAAGAAGCGAAAGUGACGGUACCUGCAGAAGAAGCACCGGCUAACUACGUG